rnacentral:rRNA from 1 species
GACGAACGCUGGCGGCGUGCCUAACACAUGCAAGUCGAGCGAGAAAGUCUCCUUCGGGAGGCGAGUAAAGCGGCGGACGGGUGAGUAACACGUGAGCGAUCUACCCGGCGGCGGGGGACAACUCAGGGAAACUUGAGCUAAUACCGCAUACAGCACCGGCUUGGAAGCCGGAUGUGAAAGCUGGCCUCUCGAAGAAGCUAGCACCGUCGGAUGAGCUCGCGGCCUAUCAGCUUGUUGGUGGGGUAACGGCCUACCAAGGCGAUGACGGGUAGCUGGCGUGAGAGCGUGGCCAGCCACACUGGGACUGAGACACGGCCCAGACUCCUACGGGAGGCAGCAGUGGGGAAUAUUGCGCAAUGGGCGAAAGCCUGACGCAGCGACGCCGCGUGGGGGAGGACGGCCUCAGGGUUGUAAACCCCUGUCAGGUGGGACGAACCACGGAUCGGUUAAUACCCGGUCCGCC